rnacentral:rRNA from 1 species
GACGAACGCUGGCGGCGUGCUUAACACAUGCAAGUCGAGCGGUAAGGCCCUUUCGGGGGUACGACGAGCGGCGAACGGGUGAGUAACACGUGGGUGACCUGCCCUCCAGCUCUGGGAUAAGCCCGGGAAACUGGGUCUAAUACCGGAUAUGACUCCAUGACGCAUGUUGUGGGGUGGAAAGCCUUGUGCGGCUGAGGAUGGGCCCGCGGCCUAUCAGCUUGUUGGUGGGGUGAUGGCCACCAAGGCGACGACGGGUAGCCGGCCUGAGAGGGCGACCGGCCACACUGGGACUGAGAUACGGCCCAGACUCCUACGGGAGGCAGCAGUGGGGAAUCUUGCGCAAUGGGCGAAAGCCUGACGCAGCGACGCCGCGUGAGGGAUGACGGCCUCGGUUGUAA